rnacentral:rRNA from 1 species
CCUACGGGAGGCAGCAGUGGGGGAUAUUGCACAAUGGGGGAAACCCUGAUGCAGCGACGCCGCGUGAGCGAUGAAGUAUUUCGGUAUGUAAAGCUCUAUCAGCAGGGAAGAAAAUGACGGUACCUGACUAAGAAGCCCCGGCUAACUACGUGCCAGCAGCCGCGGUAAUACGUAGGGGGCAAGCGUUAUCCGGAUUUACUGGGUGUAAAGGGAGCGUAGACGGCAGUGCAAGUCUGAAGUGAAAGGCAAGGGCUCAACCCUUGGACUGCUUUGGAAACUGUGCUGCUGGAGUGUCGGAGAGGCAAGUGGAAUUCCUAGUGUAGCGGUGAAAUGCGUAGAUAUUAGGAGGAACACCAGUGGCGAAGGCGGCUUGCUGGACGAUGACUGACGUUGAGGCUCGAAAGCGUGGGGAGCAAACAGGAUUAGAUACCCCAGUAGUC